rnacentral:rRNA from 1 species
AGUGAACGCUGGCGGUAGGCCUAACACAUGCAAGUCGAACGGCAGCACAGUAAGAGCUUGCUCUUACGGGUGGCGAGUGGCAGACGGGUGAGGAAUACAUCGGAAUCUACUUUUUCGUGGGGGAUAACGUAGGGAAACUUACGCUAAUACCGCAUACGACCUACGGGUGAAAGCAGGGGAUCUUCGGACCUUGCGCGAUUGAAUGAGCCGAUGUCGGAUUAGCUAGUUGGCGGGGUAAAGGCCCACCAAGGCGACGAUCCGUAGCUGGUCUGAGAGGAUGAUCAGCCACACUGGAACUGAGACACGGUCCAGACUCCUACGGGAGGCAGCAGUGGGGAAUAUUGGACAAUGGACGCAAGCCUGAUCCAGCCAUACCGCGUGGGUGAAGAAGGCCUUCGGGUUGUAAAGCCCUUUUGUUGGGAAAGAAAAGCAGCAGGUUAAUACCCCGCUGUUCUGACGGUACCCAAAGAAUAAGCACCGGCUAACUUCGUG